UACAGAGGUCUCAAGCGUUGUUCGGAAUCACUGGGCGUAAAGCGCACGUAGGCGGACUCUUAAGUCGGUGGUGAAAUCCUGGAGCUCAACUCCAGAACUGCCUUCGAUACUGAGAGUCUCGAGUCCGGGGAGAGGUGAGUGGAACUGCGAGUGUAGAGGUGAAAUCGUAGAUAUUCGCAAGAACACCAGUGGCGAAGGCGGCUCACUGGCCCGGUACUGACGCUGAGGUGACGAAAGCCGUGGGGAGCAAACAGG
rnacentral:rRNA from 1 species